CAAAUAUUCGGGAGAGAUAGAAAUGAUUUGAUACGUCAUCUCCAGAUGUGGGUUUAGAAGGUGUAAGAAGACCCCAUCUCUAUUCCAGUUAAAAAUCCAGCACAGAGAUUGAGAAUUAUUCAUCAAAAGGAACCCUAAGUGCAAAAAUCAUCGACUUCUGGAAAAGACAGAUUAUAUUUUUUAAGAAGAAAUUGUCUCCUGCAAUUGCAACUUUAUAUGGCUUCAACUCCUGAAAUCUCAAGAUCACCAUGGAAAAAGGUCUGCGGCAGCCACAGAUACCAGAAAACAACUCAUAAACAGUGAACUCUAUUUUUUUACCUUUUAGCCUUGAACUUUAAUUUGCCUAAGAAAGUAAAUACCUACAGUGCAACUUUUAAAGUCCGCAUGCUUGUGUGCCUUUGGGUUGCGAAGAUCAAGACAUGGAUUUACCUUUUUAAAUAUGUUUUAUAUCUUUACCUGGGUGGGUUUUUAACUCAAUAAAAACAAACCUGUUUUUUGUUUUACACUCAA